GUCUUGAAACUUAAAGAAUUUGGCGGUGUUUUAGUCUUUUCAGAGGAAUCUGUUCCAUGAUCGAUAAUACACGAGAUAUGAAACUUAAUUUUGUUUUCAGUUUAUAUACCGCCGUCAUCAGAUUAUCUUUUGAAAGUGAAAUAAUCAUAAUACUAAAUAGGUAAUAUGUCAGGUCAAGGUGUAGCUAAUAGUUAAGAGGAGAUGGAUUACAAUAAAAUAAUUUAAACGGAGAUUAAUAUGAAAAUUUAAUGGAAGGUGGAUUUGAAGGUAAUGUUAUUGAAUUAAUAAUUUGAUUAUAGCUCUAGAACAUGCACACAUCGCCCGUCGCUCUCAUUAUAAGGUGAGAUAAGUCGUAACAAAGUAGACGUACUGGAAAGUGUGUCUAGAAAGUG
rnacentral:rRNA from 1 species